ensembl:lncRNA
CUGAAACACACAGAGAGACACUGAGUGAGGCCUGAAACACACAGAGAGACACUGAGUGAGGCCUGAAACACACAGAGAGAGACCGAGUGAGGCCUGAAACACACGGAGAGAGACCGAUUGAGGCCUGAAACACACAGAGAGACACGCCGAGCGAGGCCUGAAACACACAGAGACAGACGCCGAGCGAACCUUGCGUGUGAUUGCGUAGUGCCCCUUCAUGGCGUUGAGGCUCCAUUUGAUGUCCUGACAGGAAAUCAUCCUGAAGUCUCCCAUCAAGAGGUCAGCUGCCUGCAUCGCCGCCUCAGAACCCACCUGACCUAACGACCCGUAGUCAAACAGGUCCUCUGCAGACUACAGAGAGAGAGAGAGAGAGACAGGGCUAACACUAGGGACAGGGCGUUUCAACAGAGAGACAGGACUAACACUAGGGACAGGGCGUUUCAACAGAGAGACAGGACUAACACUAGGGACAGGGCGUUUCAACAGAGAGACAGGACUAACACUAGGGACAGGGCGUUUCAACAGAGAGACAG